rnacentral:tRNA from 1 species
GUUCUUAUAGUUGAAAUACAACGAUGAUUUUUCAUGUNAUUGGUCGUNGUUAGAUUCCACGUGGGAAUA